GUACAGUACUGUGAUAGCUGAA
rnacentral:ncRNA from 3 species